GACGAACGCUGGCGGCGUGCUUAACACAUGCAAGUCGAACGGAAAGGCCCCCACUUUUUUGGUGGGGGUGCUCGAGUGGCGAACGGGUGAGUAACACGUGGGUGAUCUGCCCUGUACUUCGGGAUAAGCUUGGGAAACUGGGUCUAAUACCGGAUAGGACCAUGGUUUAGUGUCUCAUGGUGGAAAAAUUAUUGUUUUGGUGCAGGAUGAGCUCGCGGCCUAUCAGCUUGUUGGUGGGGUAAUGGCCUACCAAGGCGUCGACGGGUAGCCGGCCUGAGAGGGUGGACGGCCAGAUUGGGACUGAGAUACGGCCCAGACUCCUACGGGAGGCAGCAGUGGGGAAUAUUGCACAAUGGGCGCAAGCCUGAUGCAGCGACGCCGCGUGGGGGAUGACGGCCUUCGGGUGGUAAACUCCUUUCGUUAGGGACGAAGCCGCACCUUUUUUGGGUGUGGUGACGGUACCUUUGUGAAGAAGCACCGGCUAACUACGUG
rnacentral:rRNA from 1 species